AUUGAACGCUGGCGGCAUGCUUUACACAUGCAAGUCGAGCGGCAGCGCGGGGGCAACCCUGGCGGCGAGCGGCGAACGGGUGAGUAAUGCAUCGGAACGUAUCCUCGAGUGGGGGAUAACCCAGCGAAAGUUGGGCUAAUACCGCAUGAGCUCUGAGGAGGAAAGCGGGGGACCUGCGAGGGCCUCGCGCUGGAGGAGCGGCCGAUGUCCGAUUAGCUAGUUGGUGGGGUAAAGGCUUACCAAGGCGACGAUCGGUAGCUGGUCUGAGAGGAUGAUCAGCCACACUGGGACUGAGACACGGCCCAGACUCCUACGGGAGGCAGCAGUGGGGAAUUUUGGACAAUGGGGGCAACCCUGAUCCAGCCAUGCCGCGUGAGUGAAGAAGGCCUUCGGGUUGUAAAGCUCUUUCGGACGGGACGAAAUGGGCGGGACUAAUACUCCUGUCUGAUGACGGUACCGUAAGAAGAAGCACCGGCUAACUACGUG
rnacentral:rRNA from 1 species